UACGAAGGGGGCUAGCGUUGCUCGGAAUCACUGGGCGUAAAGGGUGCGUAGGCGGUUUUUUAAGUCAGGGGUGAAAUCCUGGAGCUCAACUCCAGAACUGCCUUUGAUACUGAAGAUCUUGAGUUCGGGAGAGGUGAGUGGAACUGCGAGUGUAGAGGUGAAAUUCGUAGAUAUUCGCAAGAACACCAGUGGCGAAGGCGGCUCACUGGCCCGGUACUGACGCUGAGGCACGAAAGCGUGGGGAGCAAACAGG
rnacentral:rRNA from 1 species